rnacentral:rRNA from 1 species
UUAAAAUUCAAAACAUUUAAAUUCACUAAUUUUAAUUAAAAUUUAAUUUGCAUAUUGAUCUAUUAUUUUGUUAUUUAUAAAACUAAUAAAUUACAUUUAAAUAAUCUAUUAACAACUAUAUACAAAAAUUAAUUUUAAUUUUAAGAAAAGAGCAACUUCUAAUUAUAAAACAAGAUUCUUUAAUAAUUAUUUACCGCCAAGAAAAUUAACUUUAAAUUUACUUUACUCAUUAACUAAAUAAAUUUUAUUAAACUUCUAGGGUAUCUAAUCCUAUUACUUAUAUUCAAUUAAAUUAAAAUAAAUUACUUAAUUUUUAAACCAACUAAUUUCACCUAAAAGAUUAAAUUAAAAUUUAUACUAAUUAUUUUAAACAAAAGUCAAUUAAUUUAACUGAUUAUGUUUAACCGC